CCUACGGGGGGCAGCAGUGGGGAAUAUUGGACAAUGGGCGCAAGCCUGAUCCAGCCAUGCCGCGUGUGUGAAGAAGGCCUUAUGGUUGUAAAGCACUUUAAGCGAGGAGGAGGCUACUUUAGUUAAUACCUAGAGAUAGUGGACGUUACUCGCAGAAUAAGCACCGGCUAACUCUGUGCCAGCAGCCGCGGUAAUACAGAGGGUGCAAGCGUUAAUCGGAUUUACUGGGCGUAAAGCGCGCGUAGGCGGCUAAUUAAGUCAAAUGUGAAAUCCCCGAGCUUAACUUGGGAAUUGCAUUCGAUACUGGUCAGCUAGAGUGUGGGAGAGGGUGGUAGAAUUCCAGGUGUAGCGGUGAAAUGCGUAGAGAUCUGGAGGAAUACCGAUGGCGAAGGCAGCCACCUGGCCUAACACUGACGCUGAGGUGCGAAAGCAUGGGGAGCAAACAGGAUUAGAUACCCGGUAGUC
rnacentral:rRNA from 1 species